GGACCCACACAAGCGGUGGAACAUGGGGUUUAAUUCGUCAAUAAGCGAGUAACCUCACCCAGACUUGACAUCCUAUUCGUACCUUUUAGAAAUAAUUGGGUCGGUUCGGCCGGAAUAGUGACAGGCGUUGCAUGGUUGUCGUCAGCUCGUGCCUUGAGGUGUUCGGUUAAGUCCGUUAACGAGCGCAACCCUCGUCGUAUGUUGUAUUUCAUGCGAGACUGCCCAUCAUAAAUGGGAGGAAGGUGAGGAUGACGUCAAAUCAGCAUGACCCUUAUGUCUGGGGCUACACCCGUGUUACAAUGGCAUGUACAAACCGAAGCAAGACGGUAACGUGGAGCAAAUCGGAGAAAACAUGUCUCAGUUCGGAUUGAAGUCUGCAACUCGACUUCAUGAAGUUGGAAUCGCUAGUAA
rnacentral:rRNA from 1 species